GGGUAAUGGCCUACCAAGACUAUGAUCAAUAGCUGAUUUGAGAGGAUGAUCAGCCACAUUGGGACUGAGACACGGCCCAAACUCCUACGGGAGGCAGCAGUGGGGAAUCUUGCACAAUGGAGGAAACUCUGAUGCAGCGAUGCCGCGUGAGUGAAGAAGGCCUUUGGGUUGUAAAGCUCUUUCGUCGGGGAAGAAAAUGACUGUACCCGAAUAAGAAGGUCCGGCUAACUUCGUGCCAGCAGCCGCGGUAAUACGAAGGGACCUAGCGUAGUUCGGAAUUACUGGGCUUAAAGAGUUCGUAGGUGGUUGAAAAAGUUGGUGGUGAAAUCCCAGAGCUUAACUCUGGAACUGCCAUCAAAACUUUUCAGCUAGAGUAUGAUAGAGGAAAGCAGAAUUUCUAGUGUAGAGGUGAAAUUCGUAGAUAUUAGAAAGAAUACCAAUUGCGAAGGCAGCUUUCUGGAUCAUUACUGACACUGAGGAACGAAAGCAUGGGUAGCGAAGAGGAUUAGAUACCCUCGUAGUCCAUGCCGUAAACGAUGUGUGUUAGACGUUGGAAAUUUAUUUUCAGUGUCGCAGGGAAACCGAUAAACACACCGCCUGGGGAGUACGACCGCAAGGUUAAAACUCAAAUGAAUUGACGGGGACCCGCACAAGUAGUGGAGCAUGUGGUUUAAUUCGAAGAUACGCGCAGAACCUUACCAACACUUGACAUGUUCGUCGCGACUCUAAGAGAUUAGAGUUUUCGGUUCGGCCGGACGAAACACAGGUGCUGCAUGGCUGUCGUCAGCUCGUGUCGUGAGAUGUUGGGUUAAGUCCCGCAACGAGCGCAACCCUCACUUUUAGUUGCCAUCAUUAAGUUGGGCACUCUGAAAGAACUGCCAGUGAUAAGCUGGAGGAAGGUGGGGAUGACGUCAAGUCCUCAUGGCCCUUACGUGUUGGGCUACACACGUGCUACAAUGGCAUCUACAACAGGAAGCAAAACGGCAACGUUAAGCAAAUCCCGAAAAGAUGCCUCAGUUCGGAUUGCACUCUGCAACUCGAGUGCAUGAAGCUGGAAUUACUAGUAAUCGUGGAUCAGCGUGCCACGGUGAAUGCGUUCCCGGGUCUUGUACACACCGCCCGUCACACCAUGGGAGUUGGUUCUACCUUAAGGCAAGGUUUCAAACCCUUGACCACGGUAUAGUCAGCGACUGGGGUGAAGUCGUAACAAGGUAGCCGUAGGGGAACCUGCGGCUG
rnacentral:rRNA from 1 species